UACUCGAGUGGCGAACGGGUGAGUAACACGUGGGUGAUCUGCCCUGCACUCUGGGAUAAGCCUGGGAAACUGGGUCUAAUACCGGAUAGGACCGCACUUUAGUGUGUGUGGUGGAAAGUUUUUCGGUGUAGGAUGAGCCCGCGGCCUAUCAGCUUGUUGGUGGGGUAAUGGCCUACCAAGGCGGCGACGGGUAGCCGGACUGAGAGGUUGGUCGGCCACAUUGGGACUGAGAUACGGCCCAG
rnacentral:rRNA from 2 species